AAGGGACCUAGCGUAGUUCGGAAUUACUGGGCUUAAAGAGUUCGUAGGUGGUUGAAAAAGUUGGUGGUGAAAUCCCAGAGCUUAACUCUGGAACUGCCAUCAAAACUUUUCAGCUAGAGUAUGAUAGAGGAAAGCAGAAUUUCUAGUGUAGAGGUGAAAUUCGUAGAUAUUAGAAAGAAUACCAAUUGCGAAGGCAGCUUUCUGGAUCAUUACUGACACUGAGGAACGAAAGCAUGGGUAGCGAAGAGGAUUAGAUACCCUCGUAGUCCAUGCCGUAAACGAUGUGUGUUAGACGUUGGAAAUUUAUUUUCAGUGUCGCAGGGAAACCGAUAAACACACCGCCUGGGGAGUACGACCGCAAGGUUAAAACUCAAAUGAAUUGACGGGGACCCGCACAAGUAGUGGAGCAUGUGGUUUAAUUCGAAGAUACGCGCAGAACCUUACCAACACUUGACAUGUUCGUCGCGACUCUAAGAAAUUAGAGUUUUCGGUUGGGCCGGACGAAACACAGGUGCUGCAUGGCUGUCGUCAGCUCGUGUCGUGAGAUGUUGGGUUAAGUCCCGCAACGAGCGCAACCCUCACUUUUAGUUGCCAUCAUUAAGUUGGGCACUCUGAAAGAACUGCCAGUGAUAAGCUGGAGGAAGGUGGGGAUGACGUCAAGUCCUCAUGGCCCUUACGUGUUGGGCUACACACGUGCUACAAUGGCAUCUACAACAGGAAGCAAAACGGCAACGUUAAGCAAAUCCCGAAAAGAUGCCUCAGUUCGGAUUGCACUCUGCAACUCGAGUGCAUGAAGCUGGAAUUACUAGUAAUCGUGGAUCAGCGUGCCACGGUGAAUGCGUUCCCGGGUCUUGUACACACCGCCCGUCACACCAUGGGAGUUGGUUCUACCUUAAGGCAAGGUUUCAAACCCUUGACCACGGUAUAGUCAGCGACUGGGGUGAAGUCGUAACAAGGUAGCCGUAGGGGAACCUGCGGCUGGAUUACCUCCUUUCUAAGGAUGAGUGAAAGUAAAAUUUCACUCUAAAUAAUAUACGUCGGCAAUGUUGACCGUCCUCAUUUCUCUUCUUAAAGUAAUGUUUCCUUCUUGUAGGGCCGGUAGCUCAGUUGGUUAGAGCACACCCUUGAUAAGGGUGGGGUCGAAAGUUCGAGUCUUUCUCGGCCCACCAAAAACCUAAAUGGGGGAUUAGCUCAUCUGGGAGAGCGCCUGAUUUGCAUUCAGGAGGUAGCAGGUUCGAUCCCUGUAUCCUCCACCAGGAAACAUUUAGUUAUUAAAACUGUAAAUAAAAAUAAUUUAUAUCAAUAUCUAUAUCCGAACAUUAAAAGUUAUUAUUUAAUGUUCAAAAUAAAAAUUUGAUCACAACAUAGAUAAAUUUUCUUUUUAAAGGAAUUUUUUUCUGUACAUAAAUCAAGCGUUUAAGGGCGUGUAGUGGAUGCCUUGGCACUGAGAGCCGAUGAAGGACGUGAUAUACUGCGAUAAGUUUCGGGGAGCUGUAUGUAAGCUUUGAUCCGAAAAUUU
rnacentral:sRNA from 1 species